GGACUACUCGGGUAUCUAAUCCUGUUUGAUCCCCACGCUUUCGUGCCUCAGCGUCAAUCAUUGUGUAGUGAGCUGCCUUCGCAAUUGGUGUUCUAUGUCAUAUCUAAGCAUUUCACCGCUACAUGACAUAUUCCGCUCACCUCCACAAUAUUCAAGAUAAAUAGUAUCCAAGGCAGUUUCUGAGUUAAGCUCAGAGAUUUCACCACGGACUUAAUUACCCACCUACGCACCCUUUAAACCCAGUGAAUCCGGAUAACGCUUGCACCCUCCGUAUUACCGCGGCUGCUGGCAC
rnacentral:rRNA from 1 species